rnacentral:rRNA from 1 species
GUGCCAGCAGCCGCGGUAAUACGAGAGGCCCAAACGUUAUUCGGAUUUACUGGGCUUAAAGAGUCCGUAGGCGGCGCGGAAAGUGGGGUGUGAAAGCCCUCGGCUCAACCGAGGAACUGCGCUCCAAACUACCGUGCUAGAGGAACCUAGAGGUGAGCAGAACUGAUGGUGGAGCGGUGAAAUGCGUUGAUAUCAUCAGGAAUACCGGAGGCGAAGGCGGCUCACUGGGAGUUUUCUGACGCUGAGGGACGAAAGCCAGGGUAGCGAACGGGAUUAGAAACCCGAGUAGUCC